AUACCAUGGUGGGGACACUUUCUUAGCAUCUCUUUAUACCUCUCCCAGGCUUCACAGAAUGUUUUCUCCUGAUUGUUGAGAGAAUUGAGAUAGAGCAUUUCGUAGCGC